CCGCUUCGGCGGUUGCCUAGUGGCGCACGGGUGAGUAACGCGUGGGAACCUGCCCCGUGGUACGGAACAACUCCGGGAAACUGGAGCUAAUACCGUAUGCGUCCCGAGGGACAAAGAUUUAUCGCCAUGGGAUGGGCCCGCGUAGGAUUAGCUUGUUGGUGGGGUAACGGCCCACCAAGGCUUCGAUCCUUAGCUGGUCUGAGAGGAUGAUCAGCCACACUGGGACUGAGACACGGCCCAGACUCCUACGGGAGGCAGCAGUGGGGAAUAUUGGACAAUGGGCGCAAGCCUGAUCCAGCAAUGCCGCGUGAGUGAUGAAGGCCUUCGGG
rnacentral:rRNA from 1 species